AGUCCAGACUCCUACGGGAGGCAGCAGUGGGGAAUAUUGGGCAAUGGGGGAAACCCUGACCCAGCGACGCCGCGUGAGGGAAGAAGGUUUUCGGAUUGUAAACCUCUGUCCUUGGUGACGAUAAUGACGGUACCUGACUAAGAAGCCCCGGCUAACUACGUGCCAGCAGCCGCGGUAAUACGUAGGGGGCAAGCGUUAUCCGGAUUCACUGGGUGUAAAGGGAGCGUAGACGGCGACGCAAGUCUGGAGUGAAAGCCCGGGGCCCAACCCCGGGACUGCUCUGGAAACUGCGUCGCUGGAGUACGGGAGGGGCAGGCGGAAUUCCUGGUGUAGCGGUGAAAUGCGUAGAUAUCAGGAGGAACACCGGCGGCGAAGGCGGCCUGCUGGACCGUGACUGACGUUGAGGCUCGAAAGCGUGGGGAGCAAACAGGAUUAGAUACCCGCGUAA
rnacentral:rRNA from 1 species